rnacentral:rRNA from 1 species
UAAAGAAUUAUCGCUGAUAGAUGGGCAUGCGUUCCAUUAGAUAGUUGGUGAGGUAACGGCUCACCAAGUCCACGAUGGAUAGGGGUUCUGAGAGGAAGGUCCCCCACACUGGUACUGAGACACGGACCAGACUCCUACGGGAGGCAGCAGUGAGGAAUAUUGGUCAAUGGGCGAGAGCCUGAACCAGCCAAGUCGCGUGAAGGAUGAAGGAUCUAUGGUUUGUAAACUUCUUUUAUAUGGGAAUAAAGUGAGGAACGUGUUCCUUUUUGUAUGUACCAUAUGAAUAAGCAUCGGCUAACUCCGUGCCAGCAGCCGCGGUAAUACGGAGGAUGCGAGCGUUAUCCGGAUUUAUUGGGUUUAAAGGGUGCGUAGGUGGUUAAUUAAGUCAGCGGUGAAAGUUUGUGGCUCAACCAUAAAAUUGCCGUUGAAACUGGUUGACUUGAGUAUAUUUGAGGUAGGCGGAAUGCGUGGUGUAGCGGUGAAAUGCAUAGAUAUCACGCAGAACUCCGAUUGCGAAGGCAGCUUACUAAACUAUAACUGACACUGAAGCACGAAAGCGUGGGGAUCAAACAGGAUUAGAUACCCUGGUAGUCCACGC